rnacentral:lncRNA from 1 species
CCAGAGGAACGAGACGUCCAUGGAAAAAGUAGUGGUUGGCAUGCAUCUGUCCCGGGACACAGAGGAGACAUCUGGACAUUUAGAGGUAAAAGCUUCUGGGUGAUGUGUUCUUCCUACAAUUGCCCUCUUUCAAAUGUGGGACUUAUAAAAGGCAAGGAAGCACACCAUCAUCUUCCACCUGUGGACCUCUUCCUCCCACCCCCAUGCCAGAUUUCCUCUCCCAGAUCCCUGGCAGUAUAUAGAUCCGUGGUAGUGCACUUGGCGUAUGGUAGAUGGCAAUGGAGUGAAUGGUUCCCGAUUGAGGGUCAGACUAGAUCUUGUGGGAAAUGCACAUGCCCCUGCAAUUAGCCCGCCCAUUUUUUUUAAUGAAGCCCAUGUUUACCUUCUGUUGACCAAUCACAAAACAAAGCUUGCUGGAAGACAAGACACAGAGGGGAGGAAAAUAGCCCACAAGUUGUCUUUCUCCCCUGAUGCUGAAUGGAUACUCCCCAGAUCUCUGGCUCAGUGGGUCCCAACCUCAGGUCCCCAAAUGUUUUUGGAUUAAAACUCCCAGAAGCCUUCACCACUAGCUGUGGUGGACAGGAUUUCUGGGAGUUGUAGUCCAAGAACUCAUGGGAACCCAAAGAUGGGAACCGCUGGUCUAGCUGGACUCUCACUUUCCAGUUGGGCCGAAGCAGAGCUGGGAAGAGCCCCUCUUGCUUCACCCUCUUCCAGCAGAAUGGCUGCCUACCUCCUCAGGCAGCCUCUCUUCCCUCAGGCGAGAUGGGUGAACGGUCUGAUCCAGAAGGAGGCCCCCUCUUUUCCCUCAGCAACUGACUUUUUUCCUCCUCCUGCAGAUCACGUCUGUCUAUCAGGACAAAAAAAUCCAGGAUUCGGUCUCGGAACAGCCCUCAGAGGUGGAAGACGGGAAGGUCAUCAAGGUCACCAGCUCAGAUGCCGUGGUGCCCGAGCGCCGGCGCUCGUCGGUCCUCAGGAGAGUCUCCAACACCUGGUCCAAAGUCUUCUCCCGCACCUCCGUCGUGGGCGAAGACAAAUCUGCCCCUGGAGAUCAUCCCUGAGUGCAGGAUCCCUUCUUUAUAUAGCUGAGAGAAUAAAUAUUUUCAUGAGAAAUGGAGUUUUUUUUUUCUGGCUUCUCAAAGAAGGGGUGGACGGAUUCGAACCAAGGGCUGAGGCAGUGGCACUGCCACCACCCUCAUAAGAACAUCAGAAGCGCCCGGCUGGAUCAGGCCAAGGGCCCAUCAAGUCCAGCUUCCUGUAUCUCACCGUGGCCCCACCAGAUGCCUCUGGGAGUACAGUAGUUCUUAACCUUUGUUACUCGGAUGUUUUCGAACUGCAACUCCCAGAAACCCCAGCCAGCACAGUUGGUGGUGAAGGCUUCUGGGAGUUGCAGUCCAAAACUCCUGAGUAACCCAAAGUUAAGAACCAGUGCACUAGACAACUGGAGAUCUCUCUCCUG